AUUCCAUGAUGUAGGCAUUUUCGUAAUAAUUGUACCUUUCCCAUGCCUCAUAAAAGGACUCGUCAUCUAUUUGUUGGAAAGUAGUGAUCUUGUUCCUCAACUU
rfam:Gossypium raimondii chromosome 11, whole genome shotgun sequence.